rnacentral:rRNA from 1 species
AUUGAACGCUGGCGGCAUGCCUUACACAUGCAAGUCGAACGGCAGCACGGGAGCAAUCCUGGUGGCGAGUGGCGAACGGGUGAGUAAUAUAUCGGAACGUGCCCAGUCGUGGGGGAUAACGCAGCGAAAGCUGUGCUAAUACCGCAUACGAUCUACGGAUGAAAGCGGGGGAUCGCAAGACCUCGCGCGAUUGGAGCGGCCGAUAUCAGAUUAGCUAGUUGGUGGGGUAAAGGCCUACCAAGGCGACGAUCUGUAGCUGGUCUGAGAGGACGACCAGCCACACUGGAACUGAGACACGGUCCAGACGCCUACGGGAGGCAGCAGUGGGGAAUUUUGGACAAUGGGCGCAAGCCUGAUCCAGCAAUGCCGCGUGCAGGAUGAAGGCCUUCGGGUUGUAAACUGCUUUUGUACGGAACGAAACGGUGAGCUCUAAUACAGUUUGCUAAUGACGGUACCGUAAGAAUAAGCACCGGCUAACUACGUGCCAGCCGCCGCGGUAAAAC